AUGCCUUACACAUGCAAGUCGAACGGCAGCACGGACUUCGGUCUAGUGGCGAGUGGCGAACGGGUGAGUAAUACAUCGGAACGUGUCCUGGAGUGGGGGAUAGCCCGGCGAAAGCCGGAUUAAUACCGCAUACGCUCUGAGGAGGAAAGGGGGGGAUCGAAAGACCUCUCGCUCAAGGGGCGGCCGAUGGCAGAUUAGCUAGUUGGUGGGGUAAAGGCCUACCAAGGCGACGAUCUGUAGCUGGUCUGAGAGGACGACCAGCCACACUGGGACUGAGACACGGCCCAGACUCCUACGGGAGGCAGCAGUGGGGAAUUUUGGACAAUGGGCGCAAGCCUGAUCCAGCAAUGCCGCGUGUGGGAAGAACGCCUUCGGGUUGUAAAGCACUUUUGUCCGGAAAGAAAUCCUCCUGGGUUAAUACCUCGGGGGGAUGACGGUACCGGAAGAAUUAGCACCGGCUAACUACCUGCCAGCAGCCGCGGUAAUACGUUGGGUGCAAGCGUUAAUCGGAAUUAC
rnacentral:rRNA from 1 species